rnacentral:rRNA from 1 species
GACGAACGCUGGCGGCGUGCUUAACACAUGCAAGUCGAACGGCAACGCCCUGCUUUUUUGGUGUUCUCGAGUGCCGAACGGGUGCGUAACACGUGUGUAACCUGCCCUUGACUUUGGGAUAACUUCAGGUAACUGGGGCUACUCCCGGAUCGCAGCUCCUGCUGCAUGGUGGGGGUUGGAUCUUCUCGGCGGUUGGGGAUGGAUUCGCGGCUUAUCAGCUUGUUGGUGGGGUAGUGGCUUACCAAGGCUUUGACGGGUAGCCGGCCUGGGAGGGUGACCGGCGACAAGGGGACUGAGAGACGGCCCAGAGGGCUACGGGAGGCAGCAGGGGGGAAUAUUGCACAAUGGGAGGAAGCCGGAUGCAGCAACGCCGCGGGCGGGAUGACGGCCUGCGGGGUGUAAACCGCUUUCGCCUGAGACGAAGCGGGAGUGACGGUAAUGGGUAAAGAAGCACCGGCUAACUACGUG